rnacentral:rRNA from 1 species
GACGAACGCUGGCGGCGUGCCUAAUACAUGCAAGUUGAGCGCUGAAGGUUGGUACUUGUACCAACUGGAUGAGCAGCGAACGGGUGAGUAACGCGUGGGGAAUCUGCCUUUGAGCGGGGGACAACAUUUGGAAACGAAUGCUAAUACCGCAUAAAAACUUUAAACACAAGUUUUAAGUUUGAAAGAUGCAAUUGCAUCACUCAAAGAUGAUCCCGCGUUGUAUUAGCUAGUUGGUGAGGUAAAGGCUCACCAAGGCGAUGAUACAUAGCCGACCUGAGAGGGUGAUCGGCCACAUUGGGAAUGAGACACGGCCCAAACUCCUACGGGAGGCAGCAGGAGGGAAUCUUCGGCAAUGGACGAAAGUCUGACCGAGCAACGCCGCGUGAGUGAAGAAGGGUUUCGGAUCGUAAAACUCUGUUGGUAGAGAAGAACGUUGGUGAGAGUGGAAAGCUCAUCAAGUGACGAUAACUACACAGAAAGGGACGGCUAACUACGUG